rnacentral:rRNA from 1 species
CGGGGUGGAGUAAUGCUUGGGAAUCUAGCUUAUGAGGGGGAGUAACUACGGGAAACUGUAGCUAAUACCGCGUAAUAUCGAAAGAUUAAAGUGUGGGACCUUCGGGCCACAUGCCAUAGGAUGAGCCCAAGUGGGAUUAGGUAGUUGGUGAGGUAAAGGCUCACCAAGCCGACGAUCUCUAGCUGGUCUGAGAGGAUGACCAGCCACACUGGGACUGAGACACGGCCCAG